rnacentral:rRNA from 1 species
UACAGAGGUCUCAAGCGUUGUUCGGAUUCAUUGGGCGUAAAGGGCGCGUAGGCGGCGGGGUAAGUCGGGUGUGAAAUCUCAGGGCUCAACCCUGAAACCGCACUCGAUACUGCUCUGCUUGAGGACUGGAGAGGAGACUGGAAUUCACGGUGUAGCAGUGAAAUGCGUAGAUAUCGUGAGGAAGACCAGUGGCGAAGGCGGGUCUCUGGACAGUUCCUGACGCUGAGGCGCGAAGGCCAGGGGAGCAAACGGG